rnacentral:tRNA from 1 species
GCCUCAGUAGUUUAAUUAGGAACAUCGGUCUUGUAAACCGAAGGAUGAGAGAUACCUCCUGAGGCU